CUCUAUAGACGGCUGGACAUCCUCCUUGUACCUUGGCGCUAGCUGGAUGACGGGACCUCAUCAUGAUCAGUGUAUUGCUUGCCUAUGUCUACAAGAACCGUCACGCGUCGCCUGUGACAGCAAGCUUUGGUGGGCAGCAAGUGCUCUCCUACGAAGGCUGGCCUACUCUGGUAGCGGCGGCAAUCAUCUUCAAGAUUUAUCCAUAAUCACCUUUGCUGCUAUUUGUCACUCUUGUUGAUUACACUUUCUGCGUCUUUUCUAAUUUAUUAGGUAAUAAAGUAUGAGUAUGUGA
rnacentral:lncRNA from 1 species